CACCCGGUAGCUCAGUGGUUAGAGUGCUGGCUUCAGAAGCCAGAGGACCAGGGUUCGAUUCCCCGGCCGGGUGG
rnacentral:tRNA from 1 species